AGAGUUUGAUCAUGGCUCAGAACGUACGCUGGCGGCACGCCUAACACAUGCAAGUCGAACGAAGUAGCAAUACUUAGUGGCAGACGGGUGAGUAACAUGUAGGUAUCUGCCCUUUGGCCUGGAAUAACACGAGGAAACUUGUGCUAAUACCGGAUAAGUCUUUACGGAGAAAGCUUUAUGCACCAUUGGAUGAGCCUGCACUUGAUUAGUUUGUUGGUGGGGUAAUGGCCUACCAAGACUGUGAUCAAUAGCUGAUUUGAGAGGAUGAUCAGCCACAUUGGGACUGAGACACGGCCCAAACUCCUACGGGAGGCAGCAGUGGGGAAUCUUGCACAAUGGAGGAAACUCUGAUGCAGCGAUGCCGCGUGAGUGAAGAAGGCCCUUGGGUUGUAAAGCUCUUUCGUCGGGGAAGAAAAUGACUGUACCCGAAUAAGAAGGUCCGGCUAACUUCGUGCCAGCAGCCGCGGUAAUACGAAGGGACCUAGCGUAGUUCGGAAUUACUGGGCUUAAAGAGUUCGUAGGUGGUUGAAAAAGUUAGUGGUGAAAUCCCAGAGCUUAACUCUGGAACUGCCAUUAAAACUUUUCAGCUAGAGUAUGAUAGAGGAAAGCAGAAUUUCUAGUGUAGAGGUGAAAUUCGUAGAUAUUAGAAAGAAUACCAAUUGCGAAGGCAGCUUUCUGGAUCAUUACUGACACUGAGGAACGAAAGCAUGGGUAGCGAAGAGGAUUAGAUACCCUCGUAGUCCAUGCCGUAAACGAUGUGUGUUAGACGUUGGAAAUUUAUUUUCAGUGUCGCAGGGAAACCGAUAAACACACCGCCUGGGGAGUACGACCGCAAGGUUAAAACUCAAAU
rnacentral:rRNA from 1 species